rnacentral:sRNA from 1 species
GAGACUCACCCAGAGGAGUACGGAUUAAGUGGCCGAAGAAAGAGGAGCGAGGCAGGGGAGCGAGGCGGACGCUCCGAGCGCAUCGUACUCACCUGGGCCGGCGGCGAGCGGCGAGAACGAGUGGACUCUUGCCCUCCGCAGCAUGCGACCCGCCUGCUAAGUCGCCGCCGUCUCGCCCUCACCUAGCGCCGCCGAUCCCGCCUGGAUGGAGUCCCCCCUGGGUUCCCAUUGGCUCCUGUGAGUGCUUGGGUGUCGGGAGCCUGUUUUUGGCGAGGGGAACCAACUUUUGAAGUUCGCCCAGGAGACUGCGUUCCAGCCCCAGCUCCCCGGCAGCGGGACCCGGCGAAGGCGCGACCGCGGCGCGAGUCACCAUGGGAAGCAAAGGUGUCUACCAGUACCACUGGCAAAGCCACAAUGUCAAGCACAGUGGUGUGGACGACAUGGUGCUACUGUCCAAGAUCACAGAGAACUCCAUCGUGGAGAAUCUGAAGAAGAGAUACAUGGAUGACUACAUUUUUGUAUCCUUUAUCGGCUGCUUUGGACAUUUCUAAGUGAUAUUACAGUGUCCACAGUUAAAU